rnacentral:rRNA from 1 species
AUUUAACAAAUUAAAGGUAGUAAUAAUAAAUAAAACCUUCUUGUAUUGGCGGCAUUUUAUCAUAUUAGAGGAACCUGUUUAUUAAUCGACAUUCCACGAUAAAUUUCACUAAAUAUAAAAUUUUAUAUACCCCCAUUUCAAAAAUUAAUAAUAACAUCCUAUUUCAAUAAUAAUUAUAAUAAUUUAGGCCAAGGUGUAGACCAUAAUUAAGAUUAAAUGGGUUACAUUAAACAUUAUUUAAGGAAAAAGAUUUAAAUAAAUUAAUUAAAAAGGAUUUAACAGUAAAAUAGUAAUAAUAAUAAGUAUAUUUGAAUAAGAUAAUAAAUGUGC